rnacentral:rRNA from 1 species
UACCCGGAAGUCGGGCAUAAUCAGUCGAAAGAUUGGCUAAUUCCCGAUGGUCUCGCAAGAGUAAAGUUUUUCGCUUCCGGAGCGGCCUGCGCAAUAUCAGCUAGUUGGUAAGGUAAUGGCUUACCAAGGCUAUGACAUUUAGGGGAGCUGAGAGGCUGACCCCCACCGAUGGAACUGAGAUACGGUCCAUACUCCUACGGGAGGCCGCAGUCGAGAAUAUUUGGCAAUGGGCGAAAGCCUGACCAUGCGACGCCGCGUGAUGGAUGAAGUGCUUAGGUACGUAAACAUCUUUUAUAGAGGAAGAAGUUUUGACAUUACUCUAUGAAUAAGGGGCUCCUAACUCUGUGCCAGCAGGAGCGGUAAUACAGAGGCCCCCAGCGUUACCCGGAAUUAUUGGGCGUAAAGGGUGUGUAGGCGGUUGCGUUAGUCGUUCGUUAAAUAUCCAGGGCUUAACCCAGGAAACCCGAACGAAACGGCGCAACUCGAGGGUGCGAGAGGUGAAUGGAACUCAUGGUGUAGGGGUGAAAUCCGUUGAUAUCAUGGGGAACACCAAAAGCGAAGGCAAUUCACCGGCGCAUUCCUGACGCUCAAACACGAAAGCGUGGGUAGCGAACGGGAUUAGAUACCCCGGUAGUCCACGCCCUAAACGAUGACAACUGGAUUUGGGGAGUAUCGACCCUCUCCGAGUCGAAGCUAACGCGUUAAGUUGUCCGCCUGGGUAGUACGGUCGCAAGACUAAAACUCAAAGGAAUAGACGGGGGCUCGCACAAGCGGUGGAGCGUGUGGCUUAAUUCGUCGGUAAGCGAAGAACCUUACCAGGACUAGAAAUCUCACUGGAUGCCCUGUGAAAGCGGGGAGGCCUUCGAGGCUGUGAGACAGGUGAUGCAUGGCUGUCGUCAGUUCGUGGUUUGCACUGUUCCCUUCAGUGGGGUAACGAACGCAACCCUCGUUGCCCGUUAUAUAUGUCAGGCGAGACUGCCCCCUCACGGGGGAGGAAGGUGGGGAUGACGCCAAGUCCGCAUGUCCCUCUGACGUCCUGGGCUGCACACGCGCUACAAUCGCCGUUACAACGAGGCGCAAUGACGUAAGUCGGAGCAAAUCUUUAAAAGCGGCGUCAGUUCGAAUUGGGGUCUGCAACUCGACCUCAUGAAGCCGGAAUCGCUAGUAAUCGCAGAUCAGCCACGCUGCGGUGAAUACGUUCUCGAGCCUUGUACUCACCGCCCGUCAAGUCAGGGAAGUUGGGAGUGCCCGAAGCUCAUCCUCGCGAUGGACCAAGGCAAGCUCAAUAACAAAGACUAAGUCGUAACAAGGCA